rnacentral:pre_miRNA from 2 species
UCUUAUAAAUGCUCAAAGAAAGUGGUUUCUUGAGACGGAAUCUAUUCCUGGUGAAGAUGCUGUGAA